GCUGGAAAGCUUGGCGAUACAGGGUGAUAGCCCCGUAACCGACGCUUCAUCGAGCGUGAAAUCGAGUAGGGCGGGACACGUGAUAUCCUGUCUGAAUAUGGGGGGACCAUCCUCCAAGGCUAAAUACUCCUGACUGACCGAUAGUGAACCAGUACCGUGAGGGAAAGGCGAAAAGAACCCCUGUGAGGGGAGUGAAAUAGAACCUGAAACCGUGUACGUACAAGCAGUAGGAGCACCUUCGUGGUGUGACUGCGUACCUUUUGUAUAAUGGGUCAGCGACUUAUAUUCAGUGGCAAGGUUAACCGUAUAGGGGAGCCGUAGCGAAAGCGAGUCUUAACUGGGCGCUCAGUCUCUGGAUAUAGACCCGAAACCGGGUGAUCUAGCCAUGGGCAGGUUGAAGGUUGAGUAACAUCAACUGGAGGACCGAACCGACUAAUGUUGAAAAAUUAGCGGAUGACUUGUGGCUAGGGGUGAAAGGCCAAUCAAACUCGGAGAUAGCUGGUUCUCCCCGAAAGCUAUUUAGGUAGCGCCUCGGACGAAUACUACUGGGGGUAGAGCACUGUUAAGGCUAGGGGGUCAUCCCGACUUACCAACCCUUUGCAAACUCCGAAUACCAGUAAGUACUAUCCGGGAGACACACGGCGGGUGCUAACGUCCGUCGUGGAGAGGGAAACAACCCAGACCGCCAGCUAAGGUCCCAAAGUAUUGCUAAGUGGGAAACGAUGUGGGAAGGCUCAGACAGCUAGGAUGUUGGCUUAGAAGCAGCCAUCAUUUAAAGAAAGCGUAAUAGCUCACUAGUCGAGUCGGCCUGCGCGGAAGAUGUAACGGGGCUAAGCAAUACACCGAAGCUGCGGCAAUAUCUUUUAGAUAUUGGGUAGGGGAGCGUUCUGUAAGCCGUUGAAGGUGAAUCGUAAGGUUUGCUGGAGGUAUCAGAAGUGCGAAUGCUGACAUGAGUAACGACAAAGGGGGUGAAAAACCUCCUCGCCGGAAGACCAAGGGUUCCUGUCCAACGUUAAUCGGGGCAGGGUGAGUCGACCCCUAAGGUGAGGCCGAAAGGCGUAAUCGAUGGGAAACGGGUUAAUAUUCCCGUACUUCUGACUAUUGCGAUGG
rnacentral:rRNA from 1 species